AACGAACGCUGGCGGCAGGCCUAACACAUGCAAGUCGAGCGAAGCCUUCGGGCUUAGCGGCGGACGGGUGAGUAACGCGUGGGAACGUGCCCUUUGCUACGGAAUAGCCCCGGGAAACUGGGAGUAAUACCGUAUGUGCCCUUCGGGGGAAAGAUUUAUCGGCAAAGGAUCGGCCCGCGUUGGAUUAGGUAGUUGGUGGGGUAAUGGCCUACCAAGCCGACGAUCCAUAGCUGGUUUGAGAGGAUGAUCGGCCACACUGGGACUGAGACACGGCCCAGACUCCGACGGGAGGCAGCAGUGGGGAAUCUUAGACAAUGGGGGAAACCCUGAUCUAGCCAUGCCGCGUGAUCGAUGAAGGCCUUAGGGUUGUAAAGAUCUUUCAGUGGGGAAGAUAAUGACUGUACCCACAGAAGAAGCCCCGGCUAACUCCGUGCCAGCAGCCGCCGUAAAAC
rnacentral:rRNA from 1 species